AGAGUUUGAUCAUGGCUCAGAUCAACGCUGGCGGCGCGCUUAACACAUGCAAGUCGCACGAGAAAGGGAGCAAUCCUGAGUAAAGUGGCGUACGGGUGAGUAACACGUGGAUCAUCUACCUUUUAGUGGGGAAUACCCCCGGGAAACUGGGGACAAUACCGCAUAAGCUCGUGAGAGGAAAGCAGCAAUGCGCUGAAAGAGGAGUCCGCGGCUGAUUAGCUAGUUGGUGAGGUAACGGGCCACCAAGGCGAAGAUCGGUAGCCGGCCUGAGAGGGCACACGGCCACACUGGCACUGAAAUACGGGCCAGACUCCUACGGGAGGCAGCAGUGGGGAAUCUUGCACAAUGGAGGAAACUCUGAUGCAGCGACGCCGCGUGAACGAUGAAGCCCUUCGGGGUGUAAAGUUCUUUCGACGGGAACGAUAAUGACGGUACCCGAAGAAGAAGCUGCGGCUAACUACGUGCCAGCAGCCGCGGUAAUACGUAGGCAGCAAGCGUUGUUCGGAAUUACUGGGCGUAAAGAGUGCGUAGGCGGUGCUCUAAGUCUGUUGUGAAAUCUCCCGGCUUAACUGGGAGGGUGCAGCGGAAACUGGAGUGCUUGAGGGUGGGAGAGGUAAGCGGAAUUCCUGGUGUAGCGGUGAAAUGCGUAGAUAUCAGGAGGAACACCUGGUGUAGACAGCUUACUGGACCACUUCUGACGCUGAGGCACGAAAGCGUGGGUAGCAAACAGGAUUAGAUACCCUAGUAGUCC
rnacentral:rRNA from 1 species